CACCGUCCAGUUUAGUAUCUUGAACCAGUUUGAGGAAAGAUCGGGGUUUGGCUUGGACACGAUGUGGAAGUCUGGGACACUACUGCUGCUGUCGGUGCUGUGGGCGUCCGGUGAACUCCAGCAGGAGACAGAGCCGCGGAGACUACCACCUCCGGGAAAGUUGGAUUUUGGUUAUGUGCCUGCGGGAGUUUACGAGACAUUGGCUCAUUACGAACCCGGACCCAUAGGGAUCCUCUUCCACUUGGUGCACGCUUUCCUGCAUGCGGUGCAACCCAACGCUUUCCCCCACGAUCUUAUUGUGAAGCUGGCAAAGGACAAGUUUGGAGCCAUUCAAACAGAAUAUCAAAAGCCAGAGAACAUAGUGCUGACCCUGCAGGCCAUCUAUUAUGAGAUAGGCUUCCUCAUAUGUGCAGCGGUGGGUCUGCUCUUCGCCAUCCUCAUGCCGGUUGUGGGACUCUUCUUCUGCAUGUGCCGCUGCUGCGACAACUGUGGUGGUGAGAUGCACCAAAGGCAGAGGAAGAACGCGGACUGCCGGCGCGGCCUGCUGGGAACGUUGCUCUUCUCCACCUCGCUGGUCAUCACGAUUGGAAUACUUUGUGCGUAUUCAGCCAACCAGAAUCUGAGCUCUCAGGUGAAGAACAUACGCCGUCUGGUUAACAGCAACAUGAGGGACCUGCACACCUUUGCUAAUGACACACCUAUGCAAAUUGAUUACCUAAUAUCCCAAUACGCCACUGUCAAGAACAAAGUCAACUAUGACCUAGAUAACAUAGGUCCAUUACUCGGAGGAAGGAUACAUGUACGGUUGGAUAAAGAGGUCCAUCCUGCUUUAAACCAAGUGCUUAAUAUGGCUGGAGUGAAAAUCCAGAGAGCCAUCAAAGCCAUGAGGGAAACCAAGGAGGCCCUGGAGAACGUCAGUGUGUCUCUGGUGGUCUUACAGGAAGGAGCUGGAAAACUUCAUUUCAACCUGAGCCAAGUCCGCGACAGCAUCAACCGCACCCUCGAUGACCCUGGGUGUCAUGACGAGGAAUCGGACGCCACCACGGCCCAGCUUUGCCGCAGCAUCCGCCAGUCCCUGUCCCAGCUACAAAUCAGUGCGAAUUUCACCCGGCUUCCUAAUGUGAGCCCUCAGCUGGAAAAGAUGAAAAAUGUAGUGAAAACAGAUCUCAGCUCUGUCGUCCACAGGGGGUUUUCCUCUUUGAAUGACACUCCGCACAUUGUGAUUGAACAGACAAGAAGCGUUGUCAAUAGUGUCCAGAAUUUACUGGACAGUAUUGGCAACAACAUCAGCAGCUUCUCCAAAGCUUUCCCUGUGCAGACCUGUUUGUCUAACUUCACCAUCUUCAUCAGCCACGCACACGCCAAAAUCGAAGACUACUAUCCUGAAAUUGAUAAACUGGACUUCUACAGAUGGAUCGGCUGCAUCGCUCUGUGCUGCAUGGUGGUUCUGGUUUUGGCCUUUAACUAUCUGGGCCUUCUGUGCGGCACCCUGGGAUACGACAAGCAUGCCUCUCCCACGACACGAGGAUGUAUCUCCAAUACGGGAGGAACACUGCUGAUGGCUGGUGUUGGAUUUAGCUUCAUUUUCUCCUGGAUGCUUAUGGGAGUGCUGACCACCAUCUUUCUGGUUGGAGGAAACAUGGAGAAACUUCUUUGUGAGCCAUUUCACACCAAAGAACUCUUGAAGGUCGUUGACACCCCAUACUUGAUCAAGCCAGAGUGGAAGAAUUUCAUUCCAGGCUACAUGUACAAUGACUCUGAAUUGGAGCUGACAUCGGAAAGCUUGUACAGUACAUGCAAACAGAACAAAGGCAUCUACUCUGCCCUGCGUCUGGAUAAAGUCUUCAACAUCUCAUCGUUCCUGAACACCUCAGUGUUCACUAAGGAUGUGGUGCGUCAGCUGGAGAACUUUCAGAUUGAUCUGAGAGCGAUAAUCCUUUUAGAAGCAGAGGGGAAGCAGAACCUCCUAGAUUUCUCUGAAGCUGGCCUAUCAGAGAUCAACUAUGCUGACUACCUUGACGAGGUGAAUAAAGGAGUCACUGUGGUGGAUGUUCUGUCAUUCGCCAAAGAGCUGGAGUCCCAGACAGACCUGAUGCCCAGGGGACCUCUGCAGACAGCUCUGAAGGGCCAUGUGGCCACUCUGCAGCGGGUCCACAGACAACAGAUCGCUCCAAUGGAGCAGGCCAUGAAAUAUGUUAGAGCAAGGAGUGCAUUGAACCAGAGUAUGAGAUUCCUGGAGAGGACAGCUUCUGACCUCCCGAACAAAGUCACAGAUGUUCUUGAGACCAUUGAAGCUGCUCAGCACCUCAUCUCCCAGAAUGCAACACUUUUAAUCAAUCAGGAAACAAGAAAAUACUCAGCAACCAUUAUUGGCUAUUUCAAUCAGUACAUAGAAUGGGUCAAAACAUCAUUGGCUUUGGAGGUUGCACCAUGCAAGCCCUUCAGCAACAUCUUGGACACGGCGCAGAUCAUGACCUGCAGUUUCCUGGUGGAUUCUAUGAACACUUUCUGGAUGGGUUUGGGCUGCAGCACACUGUUCUUGCUCCCAAGCGUAAUACUAGCUGUGAAACUAGCCAAGUACUACCGCAGGAUGGACACAGAGGAUGUUUAUGAUGAUAUGGAAAUUGGUAAUAAUGGUUAUCAUAGUGAGAGUUCACAAGGUAUUCCUAAUCCUAUGAUGACAAGCGUCCCAACAUAUGACACAAUGAACAGGUUUCCCCGGGCCUCGGCUCCUCCGAGGCACAUCGACUGGUGAGAGUCAGCUCUCGCUUGGCUCCAGAAAGGUACUGGUAACACAAAACGACGACUCUGUCUCUCUAACACCGAUUUCCUCACACCUCUCCUCACAGCCGUCCUGCUGAGUCAGCGAUCAUCUGUUUUAAAUCUUAUAUUGCUAAUGUGGUAACACUCUUAACACCUGUUCACAGCUUGUUUUAGUGCUUUUUCUGCUUGCUGAAAUGCCAUCAUGGUGAGAAUGACUAAAUUUACUGUAGAUGCUCAUGACUCUCAGUGUUUUAGAGAGAAGAAACCUUCAAUUUUAUGUUGAUUUAUAUUUAGGAUAAUAUCCUGCAGUUUAGAAAACAUUCUCUGAUGUGUCUACUAGCCUCUUGUGAGUGGUUGUGUUCAGUUAGUGCAUGAGCGAUGUGAAACCCUUUUAUAUGUAGUUAUCUCCACCUAACAGCACCUUCCACCUUGAAUGAAAUCACUUUGUGUAACGCCUUAAAAAUAUUUUCAGUCUAAUAUGUCUUACAGCAGCAUCAUCUCACAAUAACAAUAAUAAAAAAUUUUAAAAAUCCGACCUUUAGUCCUCUCAGGCUCAAAUUACUUGCAAAGACUAGCUAAGUAGCAUUUAGCUGUUGCAAAUCUGCAACAUCUGCCUGGAGAGGGUUAAUUUGAGUACAUUUGAGAAAUGCUACAGCAUUGUUGUUUUCUUUUAGAUUAUUGCAACUACCUUUAUAGACCUUUUACAUGUUUUCAGAAGAGCCACCAAUCGAUUAGCUUUGAUGGGAUUAUUUGGUGAAAUGCAGAUUCGACCAACUCUGGAUUUUGUGAAGAUCUCUGCAGUCUCAGAGUCACAGAGCCUGCACUACAUUACAAAUAUUUAUUAAGAAUCUAAGGAACUGCAAUAAAAUCUUAACUUAUUUUAGGGAUAUUUCUGUUUUGAAAUAUUUUUCUUGCGUCGUGAUAUCUAAAGUAUCUUUCUCUGUUUUUUGUCCUUGCAGUGCCCUUGACAACUGGAACUAAACAUCAUGCUCACUUGAUGAACUUCAACAUAUUGCUGGUUUCUUCACUUCAAAAGAAGAACAAGGAAGGUGCUUGUUCAAUGAUGCAGAUCAAAUUCUCCAGUUUGGUUUCUGCCGGCAGGACGCUAACCUUAUCAGCCCUCAGCAUCAAUCUGAGCCGGGUUUCAUCUACAUUUUCCAGGA